rnacentral:tRNA from 1 species
GGGGGUAUAGCUUAGUGGUAGAGUGCAUGCUUAGCAUGCAUGAGGUCCUGGGUUCAAUCCCCAGUACCUCUA